rnacentral:lncRNA from 1 species
AAUGGAGCAGCAAGCUUGUAGUUGGACUUGGGAGGAGCAGGAAUAGAAACAUGCUCUAUAGCAGCAGAAAUAUGAGGGAUGCUAAAAUCCUCCUUUGGAGUAGAGGGCUUAUCAACUGCUAUUUUCUCAAUCUCCUCAUCUUUCUCCUCGGCAUCCUGCAGCUUUGAAUAUGACUGAUGCUGAGCACGCAUGUCCGAUUCUUCGAGCAAUCUUUCCAGAUCUUCCACUAUACGCCUAUACUCUGAGGGACACACCAGUCAAACAUCAGGAGCCAUGAAAUAAAAAAAAAUAAAAAAAAGCCUGAAAUAAUGCCUAAGUCCUAUCAAAAAUAUUAAAGUAAAUUCUACACAGUCCCCGGCAACGGCGCCAAAAAGUUGAUCACUA